GUCCAUGGCCACGCCACCCUGAACAAGCCCGAUGUCUGAUCUCGGAAGUGAAGCAGGGCCGGGCUUGGUUGGUAAUUGGAUGGGAGACCACCUAGGAAGACCAGGUGCCGCAGGCA
rnacentral:rRNA from 1 species